CUGGAUGUGAUGCACAAUAUAACGUCUGACUUACAAUGAAGGUGUUCGUAUUCAUACUGUCUGAUCCAG